GUAAUUGUGGCCGAGUGGUUAAGGCGAUGGACUUGAAAUCCAUUGGGGCCUCCCCGCGCAGUUUCAAACUCUGCUGACUAUG